UACGUAGGGUGCAAGCGUUGUCCGGAAUUAUUGGGCGUAAAGAGCUCGUAGGCGGUUUGUCGCGUCUGCUGUGAAAACUCGGGGCUUACCCCCGGGCCUGCAGUGGGUACGGGCAGACUAGAGUGCGGUAGGGGAGACUGGAAUUCCUGGUGUAGCGGUGAAAUGCGCAGAUAUCAGGAGGAACACCGGUGGCGAAGGCGGGUCUCUGGGCCGUAACUGACGCUGAGGAGCGAAAGCGUGGUGAGCGAACAGG
rnacentral:rRNA from 1 species